rnacentral:tRNA from 1 species
CCUGGUGGCUCAGAGGUUAAAGCGUCUGCCUGGAAUGCAGGAGACCAGGGUUCAAUCCCUGGGUCAGGA